UAGCGUAGGGUGCAAGCGUUUGUCCGGAAAUUAUUGGCGUAAAGAGCUCGUAGGCGGUUUGUCGCGUCUGCUGAUGAAAACUGGAGGCUCAACCUCCAGCCUGCAGUGGGUACGGGCAAACUAGAGUGCGGUAGGGGAGAUUGGAAUUCCUGGUGUAGCGGUGGAAUGCGCAGAUAUCAGGAGGAACACCGAUGGCGAAGGCAGAUCUCUGGGCCGUAACUGACGGCUGAGGAGCGAAAGCGUGGGGAGCGAACAGG
rnacentral:rRNA from 1 species